AUGCAGCAUAUACUGCAUUUCACCCCAUGCAUCUAUUUGCAAGACAAUAUGUUCUACUUACCCAUAGAACUUUAACAAACAUUACAUCAGGAAAAAAAAAAAAAAAAAAAAAAAAGACAAUUUGCAGAGGGGUCUGCAUCACAGCAAUGCAAGUGUUGGAGCCCUUUGGCAAGCCAUAGCGGUGAAGGCAGGACCCAGCACUCGGCAGGAAAAGCCACUAAAUGGCGUCAGCUGUUCAGCUCCUCUCAGCCCUGGUAACGCCAAAGGAAUCGGAGCUGUGGCACUGGGCAAGCCUGCAGGCUGCCCGCGACCAGCACCAGGCAUCCAUCGGCGCUGUCAGAACAGCUGUGUGGCUCAGCCUGUCGAGUGCUCAGCCCGCAAGGACACAUGCCUCCAGUGAAGGUCACUUGGGAGGAAACGUCUGUGGUCCUCCUAAACCCCUCUCGUUCUGGCUGUCUUCCUGUGGUCCAGUUCCUGGGGCAGAUUCUUCCCCUGAACAGCAUCCACCUCUUCAGAGGGCCAGGGCACAGGCCUGGUGCCAGGGCAAGGGCAGGGGAAGGCCAAGAGCACUCCUAAGUUCCUGCACUGCCAAGGGGAACCGCUCCUGCUCAGGCCACCCUAUGCUACAGAAAGGGGCUCUGAGAAAACUUGAAUGAAGCAUUUCCUUUCCUGGAUGCCAAAGGCUAAUUGACCAGCACGAGACCUGCUGAACUUGGUGGAACCGGGAUGGAUAUAAUCACUCAGGAGAGCCAAAAACCAAUUAACUGAAUGGCUUCAGCUGGUUUGACAUCUGCCUCUUUAUUCAAAAGCAAAACUAAGAUCAAUUUCUUAAUAUGCUCUGUAAUAUCUGCUAUUCCUUCCCUCUCAUUAU